GGGGUCUUUUAAAUGGAGACUCGUAUGAACGGCGUAUACUUCUUCAUCUGUCUCCCCUCCCACCCCUCUAAAUUCUUUUCUGAGUGAAGAAACCCAGAUAAGCCAGAAAGACGAGAAGACCCUGUCGAGCUUUAACCAUUAGGUGAACUUAAACCCCUCUUAGACAUCACCCAAAGGUUUUGGUUGGCGGCAACCAUGGAGAAAAUAAACCCUCCAGAGCAAAUAGAAGAAAGUAAUUCACUAUUACUCCUAACUGAGAACCAGGAACUGGUAUUCAGAAAAAGUUACCGCAGGGGUAACAGCGUAGUCCCCUCUAAGAGUCC
rnacentral:rRNA from 1 species